rnacentral:misc_RNA from 1 species
UUUGUUAUCGUGACCGCGCGCAAUGCGGUCUGUAUAAUCUAAUUAUAAUAAUCAUAUGCGAAAUUAGAGUCAGUGUUUGUUCGCCGAUUAUUACAUAAACGAGCAUGUAGUUUUUUAUUUUUCGUUUUUUGUAUAUACAUUUUUUAAAUUUACAUUUUCGGCAUUAGAGUCAGUGCUUAACAGGAUACAGCCUCUCCACAACCUUAACAAUGAAGUCCGAUAACUCUUCCUCGAUGACCUCUGUUAUGACCGCUUCUGGGCUAUUGCAGCAUCGAUGACGAUGACGAAUUUCUCCGCAUUAUUUCUCCGUUCCGGGAAGCCAAAGUUGGACAAAGUUGAAAGUCUCGCGGAGGACCGCGGCGAAUCUCGACUCUCGAGGCGAG